rnacentral:rRNA from 1 species
UAAGGAAUAUUGGUCAAUGGACGCAAGUCUGAACCAGCCAUGCCGCGUGGAGGAUGAAGGUCCUCUGGAUUGUAAACUUCUUUUAUCUGGGAAGAAAUCCACAAAUUCUUUUGUGGUUGACGGUACCAGAUGAAUAAGCACCGGCUAACUCCGUGCCAGCAGCCGCGGUAAUACGGAGGGUGCAAGCGUUAUCCGGAUUCACUGGGUUUAAAGGGUGCGUAGGUGGGUUGGUAAGUCAGUGGUGAAAUCUCCAGGCUUAACUUGGAAACUGCCAUUGAUACUAUCAAUCUUGAAUACCGUGGAGGUUAGCGGAAUAUGUCAUGUAGCGGUGAAAUGCUUAGAGAUGACAUAGAACACCAAUUGCGAAGGCAGCUGGCUACACGAAUAUUGACACUGAUGCACGAAAGCGUGGGGAUCAAACAG